AUUGAACGCUGGCGGCAUGCCUUACACAUGCAAGUCGAACGGCAGCAUGGAGAGCUUGCUCUCUGAUGGCGAGUGGCGAACGGGUGAGUAAUGCAUCGGAACGUACCGUGUAAUGGGGGAUAACGUAGCGAAAGUUACGCUAAUACCGCAUACGACCUGAGGGUGAAAGCAGGGGAUCGCAAGACCUUGCGUUAUACGAGCGGCCGAUGUCAGAUUAGCUAGUUGGUGAGGUAAAGGCUCACCAAGGCGACGAUCUGUAGCGGGUCUGAGAGGGUGAUCCGCCACACUGGGACUGAGACACGGCGCAGACUGCUACGGGAGGCAGCAGUGGGGAAUUUUGGACAAUGGGGGCAACCCUGAUCCAGCCAUGCCGCGUGAGUGAAGAAGGCCUUCGGGUUGUAAAGCUCUUUCGGCCGGGAAGAAAUCGCACAGGCUAAUACUCUGUGUGGAUGACGGUACCGGCAUAAGAAGCACCGGCUAACUACGUGCCAGCAGCCGCGGUAA
rnacentral:rRNA from 1 species